rnacentral:lncRNA from 1 species
UGUUUUAGUGCUCAUAGCAUUUCACUAUAGGAAAAAAUUGGCUAAAGACUUCUAAUGAGCAAUGAAAUCAAACCAUUAAUACAUUGGCACCAGUGACUUUUAGGCUCAGAAAACCAGAUUUUGACUAUGUGAUUCCUAUUCGCUCCCAUUUAUGUUGACAUGUAAAGCUGGUUGCUUAUAAUAGACUUUGAAUAUGUCAUUGUGUAUACCAAAUCAACUCAAAAUGCACAAUUGCAUAUACAAAAAUGUACCACAGUGCAAACCUGUACGAAAUUGCAUCUCUCUUCCAUAGUUUCAGCAGUCUUUAAAUCUUUAAAUUAUGAUAUAUUGAUAACAUUAUAAUGUUUAAAAAUGAGUGGGCAACUUUCAAAAAGAAAAAGAAAAAUUAUUCUACAUACAUUUCAUACUUUACUUAAUAUGAACUUCAUAAGUAUAUUGUACAGCAAUAUGUACGAAUUACAUUUUAGACUUUACUUGACAUGAACUUCAUAAGUAUGUUGUUCAGCAAUAUGUAAGAAUCAUUAUGCUCAAAAGUUCUAAUGUCAAGCUUUAUCAUGAAAAAUAGCAAAAGCAUAUGUAAUCAUAUUAAAAGAAUACAAACUGUUUCCUAUCUAUCAAUCAUCAUCUACAGAAUAUGUUAAAAUAGUGAGCAUAGAUUAAACUGAGAUAUGUACUUUUAACUUGUUAUUUUCUUAGAUUGUUAAAAGAUUACAUAUACAUCUUCUGUGGACUUAGUAUCUGACAAACCUCCUUUCUAUGUUAUAUAAGCACAAUUAUUCCACUUGUUCGCAGAUAUAAUAUAUUUGAUUUAUAACUUCUGUUUUGUUAAUUUCUACCAAAUAUCACAUGGACCUUUAUGUAUAACCGUUAACUAGUACAGAUGUUGCUAAAAAGACCAAAAACACUCUGUAGUUUCAUUCUUACAAACCCAAUACAACAAACAUAUCAUCCUUUCCCUUGCAUAAUUGAUCACUAAAGGUUUGACACGAAGACACCAUGAGCAUGCAUACCUUAUGCAUCGUAACAAGCACCGCUUUGCUUUUUUAAACAGCCAUCUAUGACAAAUUUAUCAUCCUCCCUCUUGCAUAAGUCAAUCACCAAAGUCAGGAUAGAAAAGCCCAUUGACCAACUUGGGCAACAGGCGUAAAAACCUUGGAACUAGACCCGACAUGAAUUAGCUCCAUGAAUAUGCACACUAAAUAUAUUAUAAGAUGUUUACACCUCCACACUGUCAUACAAGUGAAAAGGUAAAAAACUUCCAAAAACCUAAUUAGGAUUCAAAUACGUUACUUCCUCCAAGACAUUAGGAUGCC